UACAGAGGUCUCAACCGUUGUUCGGAUUCAUUGGGCGUAAAGGGUGCGUAGGCGGUCGCGUAAGUCGGAUGUGAAAUCUCAGGGCUCAACCCUGAAACUGCAUUCGAUACUGCGUGGCUAGGGUACUGGAGAGGAGACUGGAAUUUACGGUGUAGCAGUGAAAUGCGUAGAUAUCGUAAGGAAGACCAGUGGCGAAGGCGAGUCUCUGGACAGUUACCGACGCUGAGGCACGAAGGUCAGGGAGCAAACGGG
rnacentral:rRNA from 1 species